GGUGCCUGUGCAGCAGUAUUCACUGUGAUAGGAAGUGAGAAGCAGUCUGAGUGUUCAUUGCUGAGGGAAUCAAGGGCAAAAUAUCAUGGAUGCACUCAUGGACAAAUAAGCAGCAGUUUGAAGCAACACCCUAGAUGGAUGUACAGCCAUCAAGAGGAUCUUAAAGUGUGGUCUUUAGUGGAAAAAAAGCAGAAGCAAUGUAUGGGAGACUGAGUAAUUACAUAUGAGCUCACAUCACUAUCUCUUCCACCACUGUCAUCCAUCAUGACUGAUCUGGGAGAUGAAACAGCACAGAUCUAAAGGACGUGGCUGGAGUGCAAUGGCAUGGUAUCGGCUCACUGCAACCUCUGUCUCCUGGGUUCAAGCGAUUUUCCUGCCUCAGCCUCCCAAGUAGCUGGGAUUACAGGCAUGCGUCAUCAUACCUAGCUAAUUUGUCCCAUAGAAUCUCAUCUUCUGGAUUUUGUGGCUAUUUUUUCAUGGUGUUGAUUCAUUCAUAAGGUAAAAUUUAUAUACAGUGAAAUGCAUCUUAUGGGUACAAUUCAAUGAGUUUUGAAAAGUGUGCACAUCCAUGUAACCACCACCCAGAUUAAGACACAGAACAUUCCCGUCACCUCAGAAUGUUUCCCGGUGCCUUCUUCCUACCCCUCAUACAGUAACAUUGUAAUAAUUUCUAUUGCCACAUAUAUGUUUACCUGUUCUGAAACUUCACAGAAAUGGAAUUAUAUAUUAUGUAUUUGUUUGUUACUGGCUUUUUAUCAUUUAAUUUUUUUUUAUUCAUCCACACCCACUGCACGUGUCAGUAUUUCAUUCCUUCUUGUUAUUGUGUAGUAUACGAAUAUACAAAUAUAUCACAAUUUAUUUUUGCAAUCUCCUGUUGAUGGACAUUUGUAUUGUUUCCAGUUAUUAGCUAUUAUGAAUCAUGCAACUAUGUAUAUUAUUAUACAGGUCUUUUGUGGACACAUCUCCAUUAUUUUUGGGUAAAUAUUUAGGAAUGGAAUGUUGGUCAGCUGUAGGCUCCAUUUUACAAGAAACUGCCAAACUGUCUUCCAUUCUACACUUUUGUUUGCAAUGUAUGAAAGUUCUGGUUGCUUCCUAUCCUAAUCAACUUUUGGUGUGGGACUACAGGAACAUGCCACUACACCUGGUUGAUUAAAGAAAAUUUUUUGUAGAGACAGGGUUUUGCUCUAUUGCCCAGGCUGGUCUUGAAUUCCUGGCCUCAAGUGAUCCUCCCACCUCAGCCACUCAAAGCUCUAGGAUUACAGGUGUGAGUCGCCACGCCCAGCCAAAAUUUAUUAAUUGGUAGUUGGCAAUUGUGGAUGGAAAAGAAAAAGCAGGUUACAAGCAAUGUACUUUUUGAUGUCUUUGGUAUUAUCACAGGCAAAUAAACUAUAUAUGUAUAUAUAUUAUGUAUAUUAUAUUAUGUAUUUUAAUUAUAUGUGUAUAACGUAUAUGUAUAUAAAGAGAUACAGUAAGGAAUAUAAGUUUUUCUAUUAACAUAGGUAACCCAAGGUAGGGGAUAUGAUGUUUACAUUCUCUUAUUUGUGUUUUCUAACUUUCCACCAGGCACAUACACUGUUUCUAUAAUAACACGUGCUGGUUGAAAAUGUCAGACUCUGAAAUUCAAUGUUUUAUAAUAUAGGGUGAUAGACAAGAGGGAUGGAUAGAGCAAGAAGAAUGAAACCUAAUAGGGUUAGUUAGAGCCCUACUGAGUGAACCUCUUGUUGGGUAUUUUCCAUGCACUGUCUCGUUUCAUUCUUACAAUAAACC